AAUAGAUACCCGGGUAGUCCACGCCCUAAACGAUGCUCACUAGGUGUUGGGGAAGCGAUUCCUUGGUACCGUAGCUAACGCGUGAAGUGAGCCGCCUGGGGAGUACGGCCGCAAGGUUAAAACUCAAAGGAAUUGACGGGGACCCGCACAAGCGGUGGAUGAUGUGGAUUAAUUCGAUGCAACGCGAACAACCUUACCUACCCUUGACAUGUCCGGAAGCCUGCUGAAAGGUGGGUGUGCUCGAAAGAGAACCGGAACACAGGUGCUGCAUGGCUGUCGUCAGCUCGUGUCGUGAGAUGUUGGGUUAAGUCCCGCAACGAGCGCAACCCUUGUCCCUAGUUGCUACGCAAGGGCACUCUAGGGAGACUGCCGGUGACAAACCGGAGGAAGGUGGGGAUGACGUCAAGUCCUCAUGGCCCUUAUGGGUAGGGCUUCACACGUCAUACAAUGGACGGUACAGAGGGUUGCCAACCCGCGAGGGGGAGCCAAUCCCAGAAAGCCGUUCGUAGUCCGGAUCGCAGUCUGCAACUCGACUGCGUGAAGUCGGAA
rnacentral:rRNA from 1 species